rnacentral:lncRNA from 1 species
UGGGAAGUUGAUUAAGACAAAAAGUUUCAAGAAACUACUUACUUUGUUCUCAAGGCAAAGGGAAAGCCUUUAGUCAUCCAUAAACAAAAUUUUAAAGGUUCAUAAUUAGCUACUCAUUAAAGGACAGUUUGAUAAAUUAAUAGCUAUGCUUUGUCAUAAAGGUGAACUGGAAUUAAGAAUCUAAGCAGCCACACUCCUAAAAUAUCUUUAUGUAUUCAUUCUUGUCUGCAGAAACACAACAGUUCCUUCCUCUCUUCUCCUUCAUGUUAAUCUGUCUUCAAGUUCAUCUGUCUUUUAUCCCAUGAUUUAUUUUUCUUUUUAGCACAUAUGUGUGUAUAUGCAUAUACACGUGUGUAUAUCUUCUGAAUUACACUGUUUUCACUUCCUAUAAAAGAGGCUUCAAACUCCCAGCUCUCCUUUGAGCUCUUUGUUCAGAAACCUCCCAUUGCUGCAAGUAGGGCUGCAAAGCUGAGUUGGUGCAGCAACUCCCACUGCUUUGGUUUCACCCAUUUUGAAACCUGUCCUGUGCCUUCCUUUACUUGUGUGCUCCAUGUCUGUUACCCAAAGCACUCUCCUCUUUCUCCUUUGUAUCCCUUCCCAAAGGAUUCAGCAAAGCCUGCACUGACUUUUUUCCUCCAGUUGCAUUUAUUUUUCCCUUCCCUAUCCUGUUGGCCAGAUUUUUAUUAGCUGCUGAAUAAAGUUGCGAGUUGUUCAGGGCAAGGUCUGUCUUUACUUUCCAUGGACCUUCAGUCUGUUCUGAGGUCAGAGCCUGCUAUUCUGAUUCUGGCAUGUGCAGGAUGUAAGCCGAGAACGAGGAGUUCUUCAAGCUUGUGGAAAUUCUCUUUCCUUUCCAAAUCUGGGUGCUUUUGAGAGUGUCAGCAAUGUUUGUUUGCUAAGAAACACUGCCAGCUCUUUCAGCCACCCUGGUGGUGCUGGCCUGGCUCCAAGCAGCAUGGAUGAGGUCAUGAGCUCUGGAGUGACUGGAUUCAGCAUCUUACCUCUAUGGAAACAGAGCCUCAUGAUAGGAGAGACGACAAACAGCAGGAAGAAAAUACGUGGUGCUCCAUGGCUUAGGAGACAGGAGCAGCUAUGGCUGACUCCACAGGUGGUCCAGAGACAGGCAAAGAUGUGGAAGAUCUGACAAAAAGCUUGGAGGAACUCUGUGAGAGCUCUAAGGAGCAGAGUGAGGAGGUGCUACUGCUUUCACACCUAGAACAGCAUCAUCAUCUUGUCUC